UGCAAACUGCACCAAGCUAAGC
rnacentral:piRNA from 1 species